rnacentral:ncRNA from 1 species
AGACGACCGACUAGUGACCAACUGCAGACGGAAUACCUAGAGAGAAGUUAGAGGGAGAGGCCGAAGGGUGAAAGCAUUUGCAAGAGUCGAUGAUAAAAAAUAGCUUGCAAAUCCACCAAGGAUUCAAGAGAAAGGAUCCAAGGAGCUGAAGAGAAUCUCGCUUUAGACCCCUGAGGAACUCGAUUAAAGAAA